GGGUUGGUGAGGGCUAUCUAGUCAUCUGUCACUCCAUUGCUUGUCAGGAUUAUUUUAGCUGAUUUGUCUGACUGGGCAGGUGUCCCCUCUCUCCCUCAGUGCUCCAUGUGCAUCCCUCUUGAAGCUUCGCACUCUGUUGAAGAGGACACUCAACCCAGGUAGAGAGGGGGAUGGGAAACUGGGCCAA
rnacentral:snRNA from 1 species